UUUACAGUGGCUGCAAUACAAAUCAUACAUGCGACAAACGAAAAUAUUUCUAGAGCCAAACGGGAUGAAGAUGAAUAUCAGUGGAACUGGAGUUACGUUGAUUCGCUAGACACAACGCCAUUAAUUGUUAGCCAGAGACAAUUAACUACCGAGCCAACAACAACCACAACAACAACUACAACAACUGAUGCUGUCUCUCCGUGUCUUGAACCGCCGUUAGUCCAGCCAAAUUUCACCGCUCCAGGCCGUAGA